GAAGACACAUUCCAGCCAAUCAGCAGCAGACCCUCCCUCCCAGACCCUCCCACCUCCUGGACAGCAUCCAUUUUACAUUCAUUGUGAAGCUGCAUUCUUAGUGAGCUGUCCAGGAGGUGGGAGGGUCUGGGAGGGAGGGUCUGCUGCUGAUUGGCUGGAAUGUGUCUG